UACGAAGGGGGCUAGCGUUGCUCGGAAUUACUGGGCGUAAAGGGCGCGUAGGCGGAUAUUUAAGUCGGGGGUGAAAGCCCAGGGCUCAACCCUAGAAUAGCCUUCGAUACUGGAUAUCUUGAGUUCGGGAGAGGUGAGUGGAACUCCGAGUGUAGAGGUGAAAUUCGUAGAUAUUCGGAAGAACACCAGUGGCGAAGGCGACUCACUGGCCCGAUACUGACGCUGAGGCGCGAAAGCGUGGGGAGCAAACAGG
rnacentral:rRNA from 1 species